rnacentral:sRNA from 1 species
CAUUUAGAGGAAGUAAAAGUCGUAACAAGGUUUCCGUAGGUGAACCUGCGGAAGGAUCAUUAUCGUAAAAAUGAGGGUGGCCCGGCUGUCGGCUGACCCCCUUUUUUGAAGGGGGUCGUGCACGCCCUUUGGUGUGUCCUCACACAACCAAAUCCAUCUCACCCCUUUGUGCAUCACCGCGUGGGCUCCGAAAGGGGGUCUGCGCCUUUUACACACACACACGAUCCAGUGUAGAAUGUCUUUUGCCUUUGUAUGCAAUCAAUACAACUUUCAACAACGGAUCUCUUGGCUCUCGCAUCGAUGAAGAACGCAGCGAAAUGCGAUACGUAAUGUGAAUUGCAGAAUUCAGUGAAUCAUCGAAUCUUUGAACGCACCUUGCGCCCCUUGGCAUUCCGAGGGGCACACCCGUUUGAGUGUCGUGAAAUCCUCAACCCUUCUCCGUUUCUUUUUGAAUCGGGGAAAGGGCUUGGAAUAUGGAGGCCUUUUGCUGGCCUUCUCUUGAAACCAGCUCCUCUUAAAUGCAUUAGCAGGGUCUCCUUAGCCGGAUAACCCCUUGACGUGGAUAAGCUUUUUUACGUCUUGGGGGGCUUUUGGCUCUGCCCGCUUCCAAUAGUCUCGUCGAGACAAAAGGAAAACACACAAACCCCCCUUGACCUCAAAUCGGGUGAGACUACCCGCUGAACUUAAGCAUAUCAAUAAGCGGAGGAAAAGAAACUA